rnacentral:sRNA from 1 species
GUCAUUGUGCUAUACUAUUUGAGCAAGAAGUUUUAAGGGCGGCGGCUAUCUUUUCCCUUGCGAGGUGAUGUCUAUGGGAACAUGGAAAAAUCUUUCGAAAGGUUUCGCAGUCAAUGAGCGUCUUCCAGACACUCUCGUUGAUGUUGCUGUUUGGCACGUUUUUAAUCGCACUCCUCAGCUAUAU